CGGAAAAAAAACAUGUACGAGAGAGAAAAUUCAGAGAACGAUCUUGGAACAAACCCUAGAAACAAAUCAUUAAUGGCUGCAAAAUCAUGAUGAGUGCAGAAACAUAACAUAAUACCUCCUUCACUGAAUCUCCAAUUCUCUUUUCUCUUCGACCUCUCAUAGAAUUGUAACGCUGAGGGUUCGAGAUCGAGAAUUUAAUGAUAAAGAAGAUCGUUGUUUGAUUCCGUUGGCAGAGUAGAUGGGGAAAAAAUUGAUGGAAAUUUGCUAAAUUAGGGUUUGGAUUGAGAUAUGAAGAUGAUUCUGAUAAUACUGGUGUUAACAGCGAGGAAUUGGAAUUGGGUUUUGUCUGAAUUAGGUUUUGAGAUGUUGGUGACGAGCUCUGUCCAGAAGAAUUGAUAUUAGGGUUUGGUGAUCUGAACGAAUUCUGUUUAGAUUUCGGUAAUCUUUUUCGAUUAUGUUGUUGAAUUCAGAGAAGCAGAUUCAGAGUAAACAUCGAGGAAUUUAAGUGGUUUUGAUUGAAGUAGGUUUGGGUUUGUCUCGAAUUAACAGUUCAGAGAAGAUGAUAAUGGUAAAAUUGGAGUUAGGGUUUCUGGUGAAAUUGGAGUUAAGGUUUCUUGAUUUUUCCUGAUUGCUCCGUGAUUGAUUUCUCGGUUGAUGCACGAAUUUCUCGAAAUUGUGGCCCUCAUGUUGAUCAUGCAGGUAUCAGAAGCCAUUGUGAGCAGCAACACCAGUUUAAUCACUGUUACUACAGAAAGUGGUGAGUACCCUUCAGGGACAUACUAGGAAGAUCAAUGAAGCCUGAAGGAUUUUUAUGUACCCAAUCAGAGCAAGCACAACAGACACCUGGCUCAUACUGAUAAUCCAGACUGAUCCGUGAACGUUUGAUUGUGGAAGACCUUCCAUUCCUAGAAAAGACCUACAGAUUUGGGCACCACUAACUUAUCUGAGUUUUCUUUUAGUAUCUAUAUCUAUCAUUCUCGAAUCCUUGGCAGGGAUGGUGGUACUCUGGUAACUUGCCUUACGGAAUGGGUAGAUAUGCUCAGUUCAGUUUAGCAGAUGGGGGAUUGAUGUGUGAUGCUGUCCAUUGUGGGGAUGUGAAGAAAGCAUACUUAAUUAAAAUUCCCUCUUUGGAUUCGACAUGAUGAUUCUGCCUUUCUAGACUGUCCUUUGAGGACUUCCAAUACUAAAUUCUUGAGCAUGCUAUAGAUGGAAAAUCCAAGAUAACACUGAGGUAAUAAAUAAAGUUGGAUGAAUUGCGGAGCGGAAAAGAGCAGAAAAGUAGUGAAAGGCCGGGAGGAAUUACGCAAAUAUCUCAACCCAAGCCCGCCUCGGUUCUCAGCCGUCAGAUCGAAGCAUUUCAGCAUCCUACGGUCGCUCCAUUAUCGCACAUCAAACUCCGAAGUCCUCGCUUCACAUCGCAGCGCCCAUCUCAAUCUUGAGCCGUCCUUUUUGCUGCAUUUCCUCAUCCUACGGUCUCUCCAAUAUCUUCCCAUAUCACCGUUGGAUCCACCUACCAUCUUCACAUCCGACGCGUUUCCUCGCAAAUCAUCACCCCUUGCCACACCCGCUCAACACCCUAACUUCCAAACCCAUCGACCUCAAGCCAAACACUCCAUUCUCCCCAAACUGUCGACCUCUUCUUCUCUUCCCCAAACUUCCUCUCUUCCAUCACCUGCAACUCCUUCACCAUCAUGCCCCGACAUUACCAGACCUCGAUCUCCAUCACCACCUUCUUCCCCGACCAUCACAGAAACACAUCAACCCUAGAUGCUAUAAACAAGAAAGGCAGAGCUAGAUUUCAGUUACAGUGGAGAAAAGACCAACUUGGAGCGUUGUUCGAGUUGACAGGAGAAAGUGGAAGCAGGGGUCAGCGCUCAAUUGCAGAGGAGACAACGAAUACAGAGGGUACGGUUUUGUGUGCGCUUUCGUUUUCACACCAAGUUUUUGGCGCCGCUGCCGGGGAUGCGCGCUGAGUAGUGCUUGUCCCUGCUGCUGGAUACCUCCUUCUCUGGCUCCAGCCUUGCUUACCUACCUUGCCUGCCAACUCCCUUUUUAACCUGCUGUAACUUAAGCAGAUACCUGUUCUGUGCUUUGCUGCUGCAUCACCCUUGCUGCUGCAUCACCCUUGCUGCUGUGUGCUACUGCUGCUGUGCUGUGUAGCUGGUGCUGGUGCUGCUGCUGUCUGCUUCUAGCUGCUGCUGUUCUGCUUUGCUGCAAAGCUUUGCUGCUGCUUGUGCUACCAACCUCUACCUUCUUCUCCUGAGCCAGUGCUGCUAUUCCAGCUGGGUGAGCUGAACCAAGGUGUUGUGGGCUGCAGUGAAGCUGAGUUAGAGACAAGCCCAACUGGGUUGAUGCAACAAAGGGAAUAAAAGCCCAACUGGGCUUCCCUCCAAAACCAAGUAAGCCUAACCCAUGAGUUAACCCAACUGGGCCUCAUUAAAAUUCAUUUGGGCUUGUAAUAAUUUAUUCAAUUAAAUUGGGCUUGUAAUAAUUUUUAUUUGUUUUUUUUCUUUUCUUUUUCUUUUAUGGGCUUGUAAUAUUUUUUUAUUGUUGUUAUUUUUCUU